rnacentral:snRNA from 1 species
AUACUUACCUAGCAGCAGAAACACCACGAUCACGUAGGUGGUUUUCCCAGGGCGAGGCUCCUCCAUUACACAAAAUAGGGUAAUGAGACUCAUUGGUUUCUUUGGCUUCUGAUGUUACUUGAUGGCCAUGAAUCAUUUUUGUAACCCAGGUUCUUAUUUUAAAUUGAUUCAGA